UACAGAGACCUCAAGCGUUAUCCGGAAUCAUUGGGCGUAAAGCGUACCGAUCGGUGGUUUUGAAAGUCAGAGGUGAAAUCACGAAGCUUAACUUCGUGACUGUCCUUUGAAACUUCAGAACUAGAGGGGCAAAGAGGAGACUGGAACAAACGGUGUAGUAGUGAAAUGCGUUGAUAUCGUUUGGAACACCAAUAGCGAAGGCAGGUCUCUGGGUGCCUCCUGACACUGCUAGGACGAGAGCGUGGGGAGCGAAUGGG
rnacentral:rRNA from 1 species